GUUUCGUUGGUGCAGUGGUAGCAUGCCCUCUUAGGGUUGAAUUACGUAAUUCAGCUUUGGGGGUGGUCCUCGGUUCAAUCCCGGGACGAGACC
rnacentral:tRNA from 1 species